GAUGAACGCUGGCGGCGUGCCUAAUACAUGCAAGUCGAGCGAACGGACGAGAAGCUUGCUUCUCUGAUGUUAGCGGCGGACGGGUGAGUAACACGUGGAUAACCUACCUAUAAGACUGGGAUAACUUCGGGAAACCGGAGCUAAUACCGGAUAAUAUUUUGAACCGCAUGGUUCAAAAGUGAAAGACGGUCUUGCUGUCACUUAUAGAUGGAUCCGCGCUGCAUUAGCUAGUUGGUAAGGUAACGGCUUACCAAGGCAACGAUGCAUAGCCGACCUGAGAGGGUGAUCGGCCACACGGGAACUGAGACACGGUCCAGACUCCUACGGGAGGCAGCAGUAGGGAAUCUUCCGCAAUGGGCGAAAGCCUGACGGAGCAACGCCGCGUGAGUGAUGAAGGUCUUCGGAUCGUAAAACUCUGUUAUUAGGGAAGAACAUAUGUGUAAGUAACUGUGCACAGCUUGACGGUACCUAAUCAGAAAGCCACGGCUAACUACGUG
rnacentral:rRNA from 1 species